rnacentral:rRNA from 1 species
UACGUAGGCAGCAAGCGUUGUUCGGAAUUACUGGGCGUAAAGAGUGUGUAGGUGGUGUCGUAAGUUUGGUGUGAAAUCUCCCGGCUUAACUGGGAGGGUGCGCCGAAGACUGCGAUGCUGGAGUAUGGGAGAGGAAAGCGGAAUUCCUGGUGUAGCGGUGAAAUGCGUAGAUAUCGAGAGGAACACCUGCGGCGAAGGCGGGUUGCUGGGCUGACACUGACGCUGAGGCGCGAAAGCUAGGGGAGCGAACGGG